GAUGCCUUUAACCGGGUGUCGGGGGCGGACGGCACGUUUACUUUGAACAAAUUUGAGUGCUCAAAGCAGGCUUAUGCCUGAAAAUUCUUGCAUGGAAUAAUGGAAUAGGACUUCGGUUCUAUUUUGUUGGUUUUCGGAUCCGAAGUAAUGGUUAAGAGGGACAGACGGGGGCAUUUGUAUGGCGGUGUUAGAGGUGAAAUUCUUGGAUCGCCGCCAGACAAACUACAGCGAAAGCAUUUGCCAAGGAUGUUUUCAUUGAUCUGGAGCGAAAGUCAGAGGUUCGAAGACGAUCAGAUACCGUCCUAG
rnacentral:rRNA from 1 species